UUGGCACUGAAGAAUUCACAGAUAUAUUUUAGAGGUCGUGGGUUUUCGGGUGCCAAAG
rnacentral:pre_miRNA from 1 species